CCCACAUCUCACGGUCGGAGUCAGUUUCACAGAGCAGCGCAGGAGGACGACAGACACAUAAAGAGCAUUAACAGGUAAGCACUGGAAACUCAUUCAUCAUCUUUAAAACAUUUUUAAACUUUAAAAAUGUGUUGUUUGUCGUGGCUCUUCAUUUUAAUACUGAUUCGGUUACGGUUAUUUGUGUAAAGUUGUAUACGAUGAGUCAACGCGAUAUUGACACAGCACUAUUGCCUCAGACUCAUUUUUAUGAGCAGGUUAAUGUGCAUUAAGUACACCACAGUUCUGUAAGUGGAAAAAGUAUUCAUAUUUAUGUGUUUUCUCACAGUUUAGGGCAAACGUUUCCCGCGCAAGUUUGAAACUCUCUCAGUCAGUCAGGGGGAGAUUAACUGACUGACUGUCUACACGCCACCAAACAGUCAGUUAUACAGAAACCUUUUUAAGUUUAGUUUGAAUCUCUCUCAGUCAGUCAGGGGGAGAUUAACUGACAGACUGUAUAACGUUACAGGCCUUUUACAGUUUAGCACAAAUGUUUCCCGUGGAAGUUUGAAUCUCUCUCAGUCAGGGGGGAGAUUGACUGACAGACGGUCUACUUGCCACCAAACAGUAAUUUACCCUGAAACCUUUUACAGUUUAGCACAAACGUUUCCCGCGCAAGUUUGGAUCUUUACCAUUGAGGGUGGCUGACUGUUUUCGACCAACCAUCAUUCACACGCAAAAACUUUAAAGGUAAGUAUGAACGCGCCCAGAGCAGUUUUAGCUCUUUACCAUUAAGGAGGCUGACUGACUAUCCUCUACCACCCGUCAUUAACACAAGAAAAACUAAAGAAAUGUUACUCCAUAUGGACCUAUUCAUUUACUCAUUAUGCUGUGAGUACACCACAGUUUUA